UUUAAGGCUAGGUGAGGUGUCUUUGGCAAGGUUGCACAGGGAUCCAGUAGAGACGGGGUUUCACCAUGUUGGUCAGGCCGGUCUCAAACCCCUGACCUUGUGAUCCGCUCACCUCGGCCUCCCAAAGUGCUGGGAUUACAGGCUUGAGCCACCACGCCCGGCCGGUAAGUGAUUUUUUUGUUUUUUGGACCUCCUAUCUGGUUAGCACUGUCUAGUUGUUUGGUCCUUCUGGGUAUUUGAUUUAAUUUAACUUCUUUUGGUUGGGAGUUCUUACAGACGAGACUGAGUUUUUAUCAUUAUCAUUGCUUGGAUGAAGGAUCUUUACUAUGGACUAUGGACUCUGGGUAAUAGCAGGAAUAUCUUUCUAGUGUGGGUGGGAUCCAGUAAUGUAGGACUUAAUGGCUUAUUGAGAGUAAAACUAGGUAUUCUCAGA
rnacentral:lncRNA from 1 species